UUCAGACUGGGCAGUGACGCCCUCCCCACGCCAGGCCUCUGGAGCCUUUGGAGCAGAAAGAUCCCAGGAGCUGAGGAUGAAUCCAGGGAUGAAUUCAAACGGCACCUGUUUACAGGUCAUGGGCUGCUAGUUCAUGAGCAGGAGCAGAGUCUCUGUAAGUUUACCAACCACAGAGCUCGUUAUUUCUGCAUCUAAAACUGGAAGGAACCAUUGACUCCA